rnacentral:rRNA from 1 species
CCGCGGGGGGGGCGUCUGCGGAGGUCAUUGCUAUUGGGGUCCGAUUUAGCCAUGCUAGUUGCACGAGUUCAUAGCUCGUGGCGAAAAGCUCAGUAACACGUGGCCAAACUACCCUACAGAGAACGAUAACCUCGGGAAACUGAGGCUAAUAGUUCAUACGGGAGUCAUGCUGGAAUGCCGACUCCCCGAAACGCUCAGGCGCUGUAGGAUGUGGCUGCGGCCGAUUAGGUAGACGGUGGGGUAACGGCCCACCGUGCCGAUAAUCGGUACGGGUUGUGAGAGCAAGAGCCCGGAGACGGAAUCUGAGACAAGAUUCCGGGCCCUACGGGGCGCAGCAGGCGCGAAACCUUUACACUGCACGCAAGUGCGAUAAGGGGACCCCAAGUGCGAGGGCAUAUAGUCCUCGCUUUUCUCGACUGUAAGGCGGUCGUGGAAUAAGAGCUGGGCAAGACCGGUGCCAGCCGCCGCGGUAAUACCGGCAGCUCAAGUGAUGACCGAUAUUAUUGGGCCUAAAGCGUCCGUAGCCGGCCACGAAGGUUCAUCGGGAAAUCCGCCAGCUCAACUGGCGGGCGUCCGGUGAAAACCACGUGGCUUGGGACCGGAAGGCUCGAGGGGUACGUCCGGGGUAGGAGUGAAAUCCCGUAAUCUUGGACGGACCACCGAUGGCGAAAGCACCUCGAGAAGACGGAUCCGACGGUGAGGGACGAAAGCUAGGGUCUCGAACCGGAUUAGAUACCCGGGUAGUCCUAGCUGUAAACGAUGCUCGCUAGGUGUGACACAGGCUACGAGCCUGUGUUGUGCCGUAGGGAAGCCGAGAAGCGAGCCGCCUGGGAAGUACGUCCGCAAGGAUGAAACUUAAAGGAAUUGGGCGGGGGAAGCACUACAACCGAGAGGAGCCUGCUGUUUAAUGAUCACCCCCCCCCCGAGGAAA